GACGAACGCUGGCGGCGUGCUUAACACAUGCAAGUCGAACGGAAAGGCCCUGCUUUUGUUGGGUGCUCGAGUGGCGAACGGGUGAGUAACACGUGAGUAACCUGCCCUUGACUUUGGGAUAACUUCAGGAAACUGGGGCUAAUACCGGAUAGGAGCUCCUGCUGCAUGGUGGGGGUUGGAAAGUUUCGGCGGUUGGGGAUGGACUCGCGGCUUAUCAGCUUGUUGGUGGGGUAGUGGCUUACCAAGGCUUUGACGGGUAGCCGGCCUGAGAGGGUGACCGGCCACAUUGGGACUGAGAUACGGCCCAGACUCCUACGGGAGGCAGCAGUGGGGAAUAUUGCACAAUGGGCGGAAGCCUGAUGCAGCAACGCCGCGUGCGGGAUGAAGGCCUUCGGGUUAUAAACCGCUUUCGCCUGUGACGAAGCGUGAGUGACGGUAAUGGGUAAAGAAGCACCGGCUAACUACGUG
rnacentral:rRNA from 1 species